GACCCGAGCUGCCUCUGGAGUGACUCUGAGGUGCUCUAGGCGGCUUCAGAGAAUGGGUGGAAGCAUCUGCCAUGUGGGGUAGAGGCUUCACAAGGAGCUUCAGUACGCAUCAGAAGGGGCUUGACCGCAUAAGUGCAGUAUUACGGAGAGACUGAGCAGGGUCACCUUUCUCAUCUGUAAAGGAUAAGUCUGUGAUUACCCCUGUUGGGGCUGCUGUGCAUUCAUGGCCUUUUGGCAUUUGUGGACCUGA
rnacentral:lncRNA from 1 species